rnacentral:rRNA from 1 species
UACGAAGGGGGCUAGCGUUGUCCGGAAUCAUUGGGCGUAAAGAGCGUGUAGGCGGCCAGAUAAGUCCGCUGUGAAAACUCGAGGCUCAACUUCGAGCUGUCGGCGGAAACUAUCUGGCUAGAGUCCGGAAGAGGAGAGUGGAAUUCCUGGUGUAGCGGUGAAAUGCGCAGAUAUCAGGAGGAACACCUAUGGCGAAGGCAGCUCGCUGGGACGGUACUGACGCUGAGGCGCGAAAGCGUGGGGAGCGAACAGG